AUACGGAGGAUGCGAGCGUUAUCCGGAUUUAUUGGGUUUAAAGGGAGCGUAGGUGGGAUAUUAAGUCAGCUGUGAAAGUUUGGGGCUCAACCUUAAAAUUGCAGUUGAUACUGGUUUCCUUGAGUACGGUACAGGUGGGCGGAAUUCGUGGUGUAGCGGUGAAAUGCUUAGAUAUUACGAAGAACUCCGAUCGCGAAGGCAGCUCACCGGUCCGGAACUGACACUGAUGCUCGAAAGUGCGGGUAUCAAACAGGAUUAGAUACCCUGGUAGUCCGCACAGUAAACGAUGAAUACUCGCUGUUUGCGAUACACUGUAAGCGGCCAAGCGAAAGCGUUAAGUAUUCCACCUGGGGAGUACGCCGGCAACGGUGAAACUCAAAUGAAUUGACGGGG
rnacentral:rRNA from 1 species